rnacentral:rRNA from 1 species
GAGCGCCCCGCAAGGGGAGCGGCAGACGGGAGAGUAACACGUGGGAACGUACCCUUCAGUUCGGAACAACCCAGGGAAACUUGGGCUAAUACCGGAUACGUCCGUAAGGAGAAAGAUUUAUCGCUGAAGGAUCGGCCCGCGUCUGAUUAGCUUGUUGGUGGGGUAACGGCCCACCAAGGCGACGAUCAGUAGCUGGUCUGAGAGGAUGAUCAGCCUCACUGGGACUGAGACACGGCCCAGACUCCUACGGGAGGCAGCAGUGGGGAAUAUUGGACAAUGGGCGCAAGCCUGAUCCAGCCAUGCCGCGUGGGUGAUGAAGGCCUUAGGGUUGUAAAGCCCUUUCGGCGGGGAAGAUAAUGACGGUACCCGCAGAAGAAGCCCCGGCUAACUUCGUG